rnacentral:rRNA from 1 species
AUACGUAGGGGGCGAGCGUUGUCCGGAAUUACUGGGCGUAAAGAGCUCGUAGGUGGUUUGUCGCGUCAUCUGUGAAAUUCCGGGGCUUAACUCCGGGCGUGCAGGCGAUACGGGCAUAACUUGAGUACUGUAGGGGAGACUGGAAUUCCUGGUGUAGCGGUGAAAUGCGCAGAUAUCAGGAGGAACACCGGUGGCGAAGGCGGGUCUCUGGGCAGUAACUGACGCUGAGGAGCGAAAGCAUGGGUAGCGAACAGGAUUAGAUACCCUGGUAGUCCAUGCCGUAAACGGUGGGCGCUAGGUGUAGGGGUCUUCCACGACUUCUGUGCCGUAGCUAACGCAUUAAGCGCCCCGCCUGGGGAGUACGGCCGCAAGGCUAAAACUCAAAUGAAUUGACGGGG